UCCAUACUGAUUACUUUGUACAACUAGUCAUACAUAAAGAAAGGGACAAGACAAAUACCUUAUGCAAAUUCAUGGCAGGAAAAAAGGGUCCGUCAGUAUCCACAAUGCCAAGGAACAUGAAAGACCUGAAAAUACAGUUCUUGGUCUUGCAGGGAGAUGCUGCAUGUGGAUAACUUAUUUCAGGAGCGGAACAUGUUUUUACUAGAAACCUAGAUUUGCCAAAGAAGAAAUGAAAUUUGGUCCAAUGGUCCUCUUUUCCAUCACAAUAAUAUAAGCAAAAGCUUAGAACGGAAGGGGAAGAUUUCACAUUUCUGGAGAACGUUGUUUUGUUGUUUUUUUUUCCAAAACAUUCAUGCAGAUAGCUCAGGAGUUUGGGGCAGAAUUCUCCACUCACAAGUUUUACCUAUUGCAAGGCAGAUUCUGUGCCCAGCAAGGGAAAUGGGAGAAUCCUACUGCUGUGAAAGACACAGACUUCUGCACUCAUUCCUCAUUACUCCUUUCUGCUCAUAUUGUCUGCAAUAGUACAUCCCAUAGAGAACAGGAAUGUUUGACACUAUCACAGCUUGGCCUUUAGCUAGGGCUGAUAUAAAGGAAAGGCAUGAAACUAGUGCAGAUGUAGGCAGAAUAAGAGUCAAAAAUGUGGGCUAUUAAGGCAGAGAUCAAAGCGGGCAUCAUCCUACUUUGUUGAAAUAAGAUAGGCAUUGUUCUCUAUGCCACACAGAAGUGUCCUCUUUCCGCCCUGACUGCACCCUUCUGGCUACUGGAUCUGACUGAGUCUGGGUCCAUGUUUUAAAGGAUCUCAGAGCAAGGUCAGGUCCCUUUCAAAACAGCAAAACUAGAUGCUUAGUUUACGUCCAUAGCCAUGGGUCAUGUUCCAUAAUAUACUGUCAUGUUAAGUAUGAUACCAUGCUAUAUUUUUGCAGUGGACACUCCAGAUAUCUGUCAGUCAUGGGUGGACUAAUUGUGUAUAGAGAAGCAAUAUUUAUUUCCAUUCUCUUCCAUUUGUUUUUUACCCCCAUCCUUUCCUACUAGUCUUUUUUUUUUUUUUUUUUUUGUCACUUAGAUCUUUAAGAACUACUACAAGAAACGAUCUGCUGGUAAUAUCAUUAGAAAUGUACUCAGUACCUAAAACAGAAAAGCAGUUGUUUGCAGUUGCCUUAUCCACCACCUUUUCCAUAUGGUAUUGGUUGUUCUGGCAUGUAAAAUGAGAUCCACCGUAUAUUUUUUGUUUGACCUUACUUAACAUGUAACAAAGGUAGUAGUAACCAAUCAUUAAUGGCUUUGUUUUGACUUUCUGCAAAAAGUUUCUAAGUGGGAAAAAAAAAGACACAAAAAGCCUAUUUUCUUGCUGUUAUAAAGCAAAUAAGUACUAUCUGUAUAAAAAGUGGGAACGUCUGAGGCAAAUGGCUCUGGGAAUGCUUUUCCUCCCCCAUGUUAAAAGGCAGCUUGGUGCUCUGCAAUUCAGGAAAAGCAAAGCUUACUGAGUAUCUGCUUUUUCAUUCAAUUGGCACGUUCACCUUUUUAUUUUUCCUUGCAGGGUCCAAACUGUCAUCAAGAAAAAAAGUGGAAAAUAAUUACAACUGCACCAGAUGUUUAUGGCAGUGACAACUGAGGCUAUAUAUUUAUAUAAACUGCUGAUCUUUCAGAGGUAGCUAUAGAGACUUGAAAAACCUGCAGACCCUAAUGUGAAAUCACUUGUUCCAGUGGGCUAGAAAAGAAAACAAACAACUCAGACAUGCUUAAGAGGGAUAAUUUCCUUCCUAACUAGAAUCUGUUCAUUUUUACAUUGAAGUAGAAGAGUUGCUGAGCAAAGCAUUGUGUUCAAAGGCAGUCAUAGAUGUAUUAAUCCAUUUGAUGAGCACUUUAAUUAUUGUUCAAGAGCUGUUUUUUGAGACAGUUCUAUGGUAAUAGUGACUCUGCAAAGGUGGCUGAAGAGCAAGGAAGAAUAUAUCCCUUGCAGAUUACUGACCAUAUAGCUUCGGGUGUUUUCAAUUCUCUGCAAGCCAUUAUGACUAGAAGCUUCAUUUGUGGAUGGGAACCCCAACACCAGACACUUCGCAAACACAGAUGUACUACAGACUCUCAAGUUAUCCAAGAAUAGCCAGUUAUACUGAGGUAUGCUGUUUUACGAAGACACAGGAAGUUGCCUAUUUUGAUUUGGUAGCUUCCCAGUUGUUCAUCAGUGCUGCCAGGAAGCUCUCUAGCUGUGGCAGAAACAGACAUUUCUCCUUCUUGCUUUGGCAUUCUGGAGAAGGAGCCUGAGCCUAAGCUUCUAAGGGAAUGAUGAGAUAAAAAGACAUACCUUAGAAAGUAAAGGUACAACACCGUUGAUGAGAUGAUGAACAGGACUGUGUAAAGCAUCACAGUGAUUAUUGCACCAGGAACCCCUGAUUCUUCUGAUCUCAGAAACACCCAGUAGAGCUUUGCAGCAUCAGCAAUGGGUUUCUCUGCACUGUACGCAAGCCGCUGUCAUGGGAGAAAAAAGAUGAACAUAAGAAAAUGCCAAACUUGAUUAGGUUAUGUACAUGCAGACACAGAAGAACGUGAAUUUAUUUAUAAGAGUUUAACUGUAAUUUGUGGGACACGCAUCUUAACACUUAGCAUGCUAUUUGUAUAUAAGGAGUUAAUACUCAUAGAAUAAAAAUACUAAUUCAACUGA